AGAGUUUGAUCCUGGCUCAGAACGAACGCUGGCGGCAUGCCUAACACAUGCAAGUCGAACGAGACCUUCGGGUCUAGUGGCGCACGGGUGCGUAACGCGUGGGAAUCUACCCUUGGGUUCGGAAUAACAGCGAGAAAUUGCUGCUAAUACCGGAUGAUGGCUUCGGCCCAAAGAUUUAUCGCCCAGGGAUGAGCCCGCGUAGGAUUAGCUUGUUGGUGAGGUAAAGGCUCACCAAGGCGACGAUCCUUAGCUGGUCUGAGAGGAUGAUCAGCCACACUGGGACUGAGACACGGCCAGACUCCUACGGGAGGCAGCAGUGGGGAAUAUUGGACAAUGGGCGAAAGCCUGAUCCAGCAAUGCCGCGUGAGUGAUGAAGGCCUUAGGGUUGUAAAGCUCUUUUACCCGGGAUGAUAAUGACAGUACCGGGAGAAUAAGCUCCGGCUAACUCCGUGCCAGCAGCCGCGGUAAUACGGAGGGAGCUAGCGUUGUUCGGAAUUACUGGGCGUAAAGCGCACGUAGGCGGCUAUUCAAGUCAGAGGUGAAAGCCCGGAGCUCAACUCCGGAAUUGCCUUUGAAACUAGAUAGCUAGAAUCUGGGAGAGGUGAGUGGAAUUCCGAGUGUAGAGGUGAAAUUCGUAGAUAUUCGGAAGAACACCAGUGGCGAAGG
rnacentral:rRNA from 1 species